rnacentral:misc_RNA from 1 species
GAGAAACACGUUUAACUUUUGGCCUGGCUACGAAAUCACUCGAAGCCCUUGGGCCAAGAGUCUACUCAACUCUAUACACCAAACGCGGCCACUCCGUAUCCAGAUUUCAGAAAGAGCACAUAUCAUAACCCGAAAUGCGUUGGUAUCUUCUCGCGUCGCGGUUUCACGUCAUUCACCUCUUUCAACAUCUAUAUUUAUAACUGGAUCUUAUAUCUAGAAUUAUUCAUCUUCCACGUAUUUAUUUGCGACUGUUAUCGCAGUUACGCUCUUCGCUCACGAAAUUCCAGCAUCCAAUUUAAAAAUUCUUAGAAACGUUCGAUAAUCCUCUUCGAUGCGCGCUUAGUUACUUUCGUUUCUCGAACUUCGCUUUCAGAAGUUUUUCUACGGCCACGUUUAAAUGUUUCCAGCGCGGUUGCCCCUUCUUAUCAUUGAAAGUCCCUUCCCGCUGGUAUUUAUCGACGAUCGUAGAUCUCUAUAUCUGGAAGAUUAAAUUUAUAAGAACUUACGAUCAUAAUUCGCCAGCCGGCCAACGAAAAAUGGUCCGCUAUAAAUUAACCCUCGAAUAUUUCUAUCGAGUUCGGUUCAACGAGGAAAUAUACUUGAUCCUAAAUCUCGCGCGAUUUUUAAAACGCUUAAUUUAACCCCGUGAACAAUCUCACGGGUCGUUCCUCAAUCUGGG